rnacentral:rRNA from 1 species
GAUGAACGCUAGCGGCAGGCUUAAUACAUGCAAGUCGAGGGACAGCACAGGUAGCAAUACUGGGUGGUAACCGGCAAACGGGUGCGGAACACGUACACAACCUUCCUUUAAGUGGGGGAUAGCCCAGAGAAAUUUGGAUUAAUACCCCGUAAUAUAGUUGAAUGGCAUCAUUUGAUUAUUAUAGCUACGGCGCUUAAUGAUGGGUGUGCGGCUGAUUAGAUAGUUGGCGGGGUAACGGCCCACCAAGUCUACGAUCAGUAGCUGAUGUGAGAGCAGGAUCAGCCAAACGGGCACUGAGACACGGGCCCGACUCCUACGGGAGGCAGCAGUAAGGAAUAUUGGUCAAUGGACGAAAGUCUGAACCAGCCAUGCCGCGUGAAGGAUUAAGGUCCUCUGGAUUGUAAACUUCUUUUAUUUGGGACGAAAAAGGGCCUUUCUAGGUCAACUGACGGUACCAGAUGAAUAAGCACCGGCUAACUCCGUGCCAGCAGCCGCCGUAAAAC